GUGAAGUAGCAUAAAAUGGAGGCAUCUGAUCCAUAAUACUUUGUGCGUGCUGCCAAUCACCAAUUUUUAAUAAAGCUUCCAAUAAACCAAGCUUCUGAUUAUCUGGAGGCUUCUCAGUUUUCUCCUCCUCUUUUUCUUUUUCCUUCUCCUUUUCCUCAGUCUUCUCAGAGGAUAAGACUACCAUGGUAAGUUUUCUCACAAUUUGCUUAGCUUCCACUAUCUCUCGCUUGUGUUCUUCAAUGAUGGCAUUAUCCCCUGGAAGAAGGUGAACAUAAAGAUCUUCCAAAUCUAUGAGAUUAUGUUGUAAUAGAACAGCAGCAACUCUGUAUAGAGAGGAAGGUGUCUCACCACUUGGAUCCUGAUAAAAUUUGAAUUUGAACCCAAGGAUAUGGCAUAGCGUUUGAGGUUCACACAUGUACAUGUAAGACUCUAUCAGUGGUACAAAGAAAUCAUCGUACUCAGGCCUGCACUCAUAAACUUCUAGGAUAAUAUCCAAAACUCGGUUAGGAUCAAGGUUAAAACAUCCUAUUAAAGAUUUGAUAUUUUCAAGGAUUAAAUCACUAGUGAUAUUUCCAGAUAGGUCUUGUCCCAGUUCUGCAAUCAGCUUUGCGUAACCUUCAUUCUCC
rnacentral:lncRNA from 1 species